rnacentral:rRNA from 1 species
GAUCUCGACCAUACAGGUUUGUCAACGCCCGAGCUCGUCAUAUCUCACAAGCUAAGCAAGUCUGGGUGUGGUUAGUUCUUGGAUGGGAGACCGUUGGGAAUACCAGGUGACACAGUGGGGCGCC